GAUGAACGCUGGCGGCGUGCCUAAUACAUGCAAGUCGAGCGAACGGACGAGAAGCUUGCUUCUCUGAUGUUAGCGGCGGACGGGAGAGUAACACGUGGAUAACCUACCUAUAAGACUGGGAUAACUUCGGGAAACCGGAGCUACUACCGGAUAAUAUUUUGAACCGCAUGGUUCAAAAGUGAAAGACGGUCUUGCUGUCACUUAUAGAUGGAUCCGCGCUGCAUUAGCUAGUUGGUAAGGUAACGGCUUACCAAGGCAACGAUGCAUAGCCGACCUGAGAGGGUGGUCGGCCACACUGGAUGUGAGACACGGUCCAGACUCCUACGGGAGGCAGCAGUAGGGAAUCUUACGCAAUGGGCGAAAGGCUGACGGAGCAACGCCGCGUGAGGGAUGAAGGUGUUCGGAUCGGAAAACUCUGUUAUUAGGGAAGAACAUAUGUGUAAGUAACUGUGCAGAUCUUGACGGUACCUAAUCAGAAAGCCACGGCUAACUACGUG
rnacentral:rRNA from 1 species